rnacentral:rRNA from 1 species
GACGAACGCUGGCGGCGUGCUUAACACAUGCAAGUCGAACGGAAAGGCCCAGCUUGCUGGGUACUCGAGUGGCGAACGGGUGAGUAACACGCGGGUGAUCUGCCCUCCACUUUGGGAUAAGCCUGGGAAACUGGGUCUAAUACCGGACAUGAUAAACUUUCGCCUGGUGGGUGGUGGAAAGCUUUUGCGGUUGGGGAUGGGCUAUCGGCCUAUCAGCUUGUUGGUGGGGUAUUGGCAGACCAAGGCGACGACGGGUAGCCGACCUGGGAGGGUGAUCGGCCCCCCGGCGCCUGCGACACGGCCCAGACUCCUACGUGACGCAGCGGGGGGGAAUAUUGCACAGUAGGCGCAAGCCUGAUGCAGCGACGCCGCGUGCGGGAUGACGUCCUUCGGGUUGUAAACCUCUUUCUCCAGAGCCGAGGCGUGAGUGACGGUACCUGGAGAAGAAGCACCGGCCAACUACGUG